GUUAACUUGGCAGAAUUAGUGCACUAAAUUUAGAAUUUAGAUAUAAAAUUUAUUUGUUUUAGUUAAUA
rnacentral:tRNA from 1 species